GGACUACUGGGGUAUCUAAUCCUGUUUGCUCCCCACGCUUUCGUGCAUGAGCGUCAGUAUUGGCCCAGGGGGCUGCCUUCGCCAUCGGUAUUCCUCCACAUCUCUACGCAUUUCACUGCUACACGUGGAAUUCUACCCCCCUCUGCCAUACUCUAGCCCGCCAGUCACAAAUGCAGUUCCCAGGUUAAGCCCGGGGAUUUCACAUCUGUCUUAACGAACCGCCUGCGCACGCUUUACGCCCAGUAAUUCCGAUUAACGCUCGCACCCUACGUAUUACCGCGGCUGCUGGCAC
rnacentral:rRNA from 1 species